AAUUGAAGAGUUUGAUCAUGGCUCAGAUUGAACGCUGGCGGCAGGCCUAACACAUGCAAGUCGAGCGGAAACGACUUAACUGAACCUUCGGGGAACGUUAAGGGCGUCGAGCGGCGGACGGGUGAGUAAUGCCUGGGAAUAUGCCUUAGUGUGGGGGAUAACUAUUGGAAACGAUAGCUAAUACCGCAUAAUGUCUUCGGACCAAAGAGGGGGACCUUCUGGCCUCUCGCGCUAAGAUUAGCCCAGGUGAGAUUAGCUAGUUGGUGAGGUAAGAGCUCACCAAGGCGACGAUCUCUAGCUGGUCUGAGAG
rnacentral:rRNA from 1 species